GAUGAACGCUGGCGGCGUGCCUAACACAUGCAAGUCGAACGAAGCACUGUCGAAUGAGGAUUCGUCUGAAUUUGACUUUGACUUAGUGGCGGACGGGUGAGUAAUGCGUGAGCAACCUGCCUUUCAGAGGGGGACAACAGUUGGAAACGACUGCUAAUACCGCAUGACAUAUCGAGAUCGCAUGGUUUUGAUAUUAAAGAUUUAUCGCUGAAAGAUGGGCUCACGUCUGAUUAGUUAGUUGGUGGGGUAACGGCUCACCAAGACUGCGAUCAGUAGCCGGACUGAGAGGUUGAACGGCCACAUUGGGACUGAGAUACGGCCCAGACUCCUACGGGAGGCAGCAGUGGGGAAUAUUGGGCAAUGGGCGAAAGCCUGACCCAGCAACGCCGCGUGAAGGAGAAGGUUUCGGAUUGUAAACUUCUUUUAUCAGGUACGAAGAAAGUGACGGUACCUGAUGAAUAAGCCACGGCUAACUACGUGCCAG
rnacentral:rRNA from 1 species